ensembl:rRNA 5S_rRNA 5S ribosomal RNA
GAUUACGGCCAUACCACACUGACAACACCCGAUCUCGUCUGAUCUAGGAAGCUAAGCAGACUUGGAUUGGGUCAGUACUUGGAUGGGUGACUACCUGGGAAUACCCGGUGCUGUAAGCA